rnacentral:lncRNA from 1 species
GAAAUUAAGAUAUCUGUGUAUGGAAAAAGCAUCUGUUAUAUACCCCUCGUUUCUGACUUGUUAAGAGUUUGUUAAUCAUUAACAUGUAAAUAGAAAAAGCCAGUCAAAAGAGAAAAAUAUUUCAUGUUAGGUAGAUCUUUUACCACCAUUUCUAGUGCUGGAAAGAUAGAAUGCAUCGAGGUAGGGACCCUCCCUCAGCACAGUAAUGUUUUAUAUGCUUUAUAAAACAACUACCUGCUAACUAAAUUCCAUCUGUCCAAAAGUCUCCAGGAAGCACAGUAUUGCCCUAGAUUUUGGCAAACCGUUAUACGAGGUUUAGCCCCAUAUUAGCAUUUUAAUUGCUGGCUGAUUGCUUUUAUGUUGCAAAACUCAGUUCACAACAGUAUGUAAGUUGCAAUUAGUUUUUACUGUGUGAUUCAUUAGUUCCUAUAAAGCAUGUUGUGCUGCAACAUUUGGAAGGUAAUACGCUGGAAACAUUACAGCUCGCAUUAAAAAGUGUUGAAUGGCAUUGAAAAUGUACUAGUCCUGACAAACACAAAGACCACACGUGAUGGCAGGACAUAUUCUCUCAGAUGAGGUUUGGCUGACAGCUGCAGAUAAAGUUGUUUCAUAUUGACAGGUUUUCCACAUAAACAGAAUCUCAAACACGCAGUCUGUUCCAUACGGGUUCACAUCUGUGUGGGGUUUGGGGUUUUGUGGGGUUGGUGGAGUGGACACAGGUGUGGGAGUUUCCUUUAUGAGGGUUUGACUGCAGAGCUCAGCCAGGUUUGUGAUGUUCCUUCAGAGGAUAUCCGACGUCUUUUUCGUGCCUGGAGAAUCACGUUUCUUUUGGAGAUUCUGUCUUGUUCUCAGUGCUUGUGAUGGUGAGGUGUGUGUGGGUGUCCUUUCUGAUUCUCUUCUGCAAAGACAAAGUGUAACUGAGAGCAACUCCAUCAGAGAUGUCCAUGUGAGAUGCUCCCAGCUCCUUGCCAAGCUUCUGGCUGUGUCUCCAUUCAUCUCCCAUUGAAAUUGUCCCUGCAUCCCUCCUUCAGUACCUGGAUGCUGCUCCCUCCUUGCCAGCCAGAUGGGAUGCUUUUGGCCAGCUUUGCCCUGAGGGGGGAUGUAAGUGCUGUCAAACAGACUCAACCCCUCUCUUAGCUGAGUGCAUCCAGAGGGAGAGCACUGGGGCUCCUCUCCCCCUGGCAUCCUGGUUACCUGUUGUGUUUAUCAGAGGGAGAGUUGAAGUGACGAAUAACACAAGACCCUUUUAUUUUCAGCUGAAUGGCUGCUGCCCAGCCUGGCUCUGAAUUGCCCAGACGGUGCAAACCACAGCCAGCUUAGCGAGACCCCAUUUUUAGCUUGCGUGACUCUGACUCUCCGUCGCCUUCUGUGCAGUAUCUUCUCCUUCAUGCCGCUGUUACCAAACAAUGGAAUUGGGGGGUUGCAAUUGCAGCAGAUCCCAGGCCGAUAACGGCCAGUUGACAAACGGUGCUAGGUAAUACAAAGCUUGUUUAUGUUCCGCUUUGCACGGCUCCGCUAUCAGCUACCAGUAGGUUCUGGUUUCGGUGUUAUCAGGCAGCUACAGAGACCUUAGGACAAGGUACAAUGUAAAUUAAACACAGAGAUAUACCCAAUAAUUCAUUGCCUUUCCCACUUCUAAUUUGGUGAUGGGAGAAUAUCGCUCCCUAAUACAACAUUUGGGUCCUGGCCAAAUACUAAAUUUAGAUGUUCAUUGUCCCUUGUUUACCAUUCGCACGCAGAGAUAAAUAUUGCUUGUGUUGAGUCACUGUUAUUACCUUGGAAAUAGUUAAGCUGCCCUAAAAACUCACUCCUUAAUUGAAACGGGCAAAAGGUGUGUCAGCUACAGGGGGCAGAACAUCCAGCAGAGGUGAUGCUAUGUCCUUUCCUUGUGCAUGGUUAUCAUGUGCGUGAUUAAUUCUUGCUGUUUACUGCUCGGAGGGAGCCAUUACACAUCGCUUCGAGGUAACUACAGGGCAUGGCUUCUUUUCUAAGACGGGAGACUAUGA